CUAAAACACAAGCAAAACCAUAGAGAGAGAGAGAGAGAGAGAGAGAGAGAGAGAGAGAGAGAGAUGGUGAAGAAAAUAGGCGAAGUUGGAGUGGAGGACUUGGUUCAGGCAGGGCUAACCGUUGAAGAGGCCAAGGAUUUCGAAACAGUCCUAAAAAAUAUACAAUCUCCAGCACGAAAGCAAUGCACCCGAAAGAGAUAUGGCGGCAGAUAGUGGCUGAGAGCUUGCUGAAAGCAUCACACACUCAUGACGUGCACCAGUUGAUCUACUACUCAGUCUAUGCCAAUUGGGAUGCCACCACCAAAGGCCGUCCCCUCUACUGGUUCCCUUCUCGGUUGGUGGCUAAUGCACUGGAUACAACCUUCUCAAAGGGUGAUGCAAUUGCUAUUGACAUGCUAAUGACAGUCGAUGCAGUUAUCAUAUGUUUAGCAAUCGUACUAGCAGGAUUGUUGUCUCAAUAGGGGACAGUUUUGCUGUGAACGAAAUUGCAACUCUGUCUGCGUGUGUAAAGCAAAGGGCGUCUUUACCCAGGAUUUCACACUAAGAGGAGGUCGAAAGUUUCCUUUCUACAGGUAGAUACUACUUCCUUAUCACCAUGAUAGAUGCUAACAUCUCUCUGCUCUUUCAGAGAUUGAAAUAUCAAAGUGUUAAUUAUACAUAUAAAUGCUAGUUUAAUUGUUACGUCUGUGAAUGUUGCUUGUUUAUGUUGCAAUCGAGUUGCAAAGGCCACUACACAUUUAGCUACUUCAGCAAUUGGAAGCAAUGCAGGGAUUCAGUAAAGAGAACAGGAUCUAUCCUGGCAUGAUUUUCUUUCUCGUGUUGAUCACCUUCCAAGAAAGAAUUACUACUCUCCGGUCUACAGACAAUUGAUUCCGUGACUAAUUUUCUCUUUUCAUCUGGAACCACAGGUGUUUACCAGGAGAUCCGAAAGCUAUUCCAUGGACACAACUUUCACCAAUUAGAUGUGCUGCUGAUACAUGGGCUCACAUUGAUACUCAAGUUAGGGGUGUCUACUGCGGGCCAACAAAUUUGAGAAGGGUUAUGGGUCUAAUCUUUACUCUACUCAGGCUUUCUAACCGGUUCAACUCUUGCUCUGUAUCACAGAUCUCCUCUCGGUUGUGGCUUCGGAAAAUUUGUUCUGGAUUCAGGAGUCACUAUAUUGGGAACAGUUCCUAGCUUAGUAAAAGCUUGGAAGAGUACAGUGUAUAAAAGGCCUAGAUUGGGCAAGGAUAAUCUUUUUAUUUAAACUUCAGAGUGAUUUAUUUACAUGAACACCGAGAAAAUGGACUUAACCAUCAAAGUAUGCAGAUCAUUUUCUUCCACUGGUGAAGCGUCUAGCGUUGAUGAUGACCUUUGGCUCGCUUCCCGCACUUAUUAUAGACCUGUCAUUGAAUGCUGUUGGGGCACAGAGCUUGCUUCGUCCUACAUCAUGGGAAGUCUGCUGCAGCCGCAAGCUUUUGGAGCAUUUAGCACAAAGUCCAUGAAAACAGGCUUUGUCAUCUUUGAUGAACAUGGAAUUCCUUAUCCAGAAGAGCAAGCUUGUGUCGGGGAAGUGAGUUUGUUUCCGCUAUUAACGGGAGUGGCUGACAGACUGCCAAAUGCUGCUCAUGAAAAGGUUUACUUCAAGGGAAUGCCAAUAUACAAUGGAACGGUACGAUUAGAACUACAUGUCUUUCAGUACUUGAACCUCUUGAUAUGCUUAAAUAUGAACUUAUCGAUGUUUUUGAAUCGCCUGCAACUUAGGAGAUAUGGAGAUAUAGUUAAAAGAACUGUUGGAGGUUCAAUUCCUCUCAUAGACAUACUUGAACCUCUUCAUAUGCUUAAAUGUGAACUUAAAUUUAUUCAAUUCUCUCAUUCUGAUUACGGAUUAGUAAACGAGUCAUAAGUUACCUAAGGUUGACAAUACAAAUUAA